GAGGGUAUAGCUCAGUGGCUUACAGCACAUGCUUAGCAUGCAGGAGAUCCUGGGUUCAAGCCCCAGUACCUCCA
rnacentral:tRNA from 1 species